GACGAACGCUGGCGGCGUGCUUAACACAUGCAAGUCGAGCGGUAAGGCCCUUUCGGGGGUACACGAGCGGCGAACGGGUGAGUAACACGUGGGUGACCUGCCCUUAGCUCUGGGAUAAGCCUGGGAAACUGGGUCUAAUACCGGAUAUGACUCCAUGACGCAUGUUGUGGGGUGGAAANCCUUGUGCGGCUAGGGAUGGGCCCGCGGCCUAUCAGCUUGUUGGUGGGGUNAUGGCCACCAAGGCGACGACGGGUAGCCGGCCUGAGAGGGCGACCGGCCACACUGGGACUGAGACACGGCCCAGACUCCUACGGGAGGCAGCAGUGGGGAAUCUUGCGCAAUGGGCGAAAGCCUGACGCAGCGACGCCGCGUGGGGAUGACGGCCU
rnacentral:rRNA from 1 species